rnacentral:rRNA from 1 species
UAGAGUUUGAUCAUGGCUCAGGAUGAACGCUGGCGGCGUGCUUAACACAUGCAAGUCGAACGGACUCAUAUUGAAACCUAGUGAUUUAUGAGUUAGUGGCGGACGGGUGAGUAACGCGUGGAUAACCUGCCGUAUACCGGGGGAUAACACUUAGAAAUAGGUGCUAAUACCGUAUAAGCGCACGGCUCCGCAUGGGGCAGUGUGAAAAACUCCGGUGGUAUACGAUGGAUCCGCGUCUGAUUAGCUAGUUGGCGGGGUAACGGCUCACCAAGGCAGCGAUCAGUAGCCGGCCUGAGAGGGUGGACGGCCACAUUGGGACUGAGACACGGCCCAAACUCCUACGGGAGGCAGCAGUGGGGAAUAUUGCACAAUGGGGGAAACCCUGAUGCAGCGACGCCGCGUGAGUGAAGAAGUAUCUCGGUACGUAAAGCUCUAUCAGCAGGGAAGAAAAUGACGGUACCUGACCAAGAAGCCCCGGCUAACUACGUGCCAGCAGCCGCGGUAAUACGUAGGGGGCAAGCGUUAUCCGGAUUUACUGGGUGUAAAGGGAGCGUAGACGGCAGCACAAGUCUGGAGUGAAAUCCCGGGGCUUAACCCCGGAACUGCUUUGGAAACUGUGCGGCUGGAGUGCAGGAGGGGUAAGCGGAAUUCCUAGUGUAGCGGUGAAAUGCGUAGAUAUUAGGAGGAACACCGGUGGCGAAGGCGGCUUACUGGACUGUAACUGACGUUGAGGCUCGAAAGCGUGGGGAGCAAACAGGAUUAGAUACCCUGGUAGUCCACGCCGUAAACGAUGAUUACUAGGUGUCGGGGGACCAAGGUCCUCCGGUGCCGGCGCAAACGCAUUAAGUAAUCCACCUGGGGAGUACGUUCGCAAGAAUGAAACUCAAAGGAAUUGACGG